rnacentral:rRNA from 1 species
UGGGGAAUAUUGCACAAUGGGCGCAAGCCUGAUGCAGCCAUGCCGCGUGUAUGAAGAAGGCCCUCGGGUUGUAAAGUACUUUCAGCGGGGAGGAAGGGAGUAAAGUUAAUACCUUUGCUCAUUGACGUUACCCGCAGAAGAAGCACCGGCUAACUCCGUGCCAGCAGCCGCGGUAAUACGGAGGGUGCAAGCGUUAAUCGGAAUUACUGGGCGUAAAGCGCACGCAGGCGGUUUGUUAAGUCAGAUGUGAAAUCCCCGGGCUGAAAAUGGGAAAUGCAUCUGAUACUGGCAAGCUUGAGUCUCGUAGAGGGGGGUAGAAUUACAGGUGUAGCGGUGAAAUGCGUAGAGAUCUGGAGGAAUACCGGUGGCGAAGGCGGCCCCCUGGACGAAGACUGACGCUCAGGUGCGAAAGCGUGGGGAGCAAACAGG